CUUUAGUUCAUUUGGCAGCUUUUGCCUUGUUCUUUCACUCUCUAAUGUUCUUUCUUCUUUCACUCUCUACUUCUUCCAUUACUCAUAUGAAUUGUACUCCAGUUUUGAAAUCAUCUUUUACGGCAAAAUUGAAGGAACUUCAACCUAAUGAUUAUCAAAUUAUGUUGUUGAAGAAGACCAUUCAAAUAAUGGUGGUUUGAUGCAAAAAUAAGAAGAAAUAAGUGUGGUCUUUGUUUGUCUUAAAACAACUUUUCCAAAAAGGUCACAUCUUGUUGAAAUUUAAAAAUAGGAUCCAAGACUUGUGAACCAAGAAUAUGAUAUCAUACGUGUAAAAGAAUUUAUCAUACAUGUGAAUCAAUGUAUAAUUAUGAUGUCAUACAUGUGAACUAAUUUGUCAUACAUGUGAACCAAUAUUAUACAUUCGAAUGUUUACUGGAACGACACACUUUCAUUAUACAAUGAUUUGAAUAUAUAACAACAUAUUAUA